rnacentral:rRNA from 1 species
GAUGAACGCUGGCGGCGUGCCUAAUACAUGCAAGUCGAGCGAAUGGAUUAAGAGCUUGCUCUUAUGAAGUUAGCGGCGGACGGGUGAGUAACACGUGGGUAACCUGCCCAUAAAACUGGGAUAACUCCGGGAAACCGGGGCUAAUACCGGAUAACAUUUUGAACCGCAUGGUUCAAAAUUGAAAGGCGGCUUCGGCUGUCACUUAUGGAUGGACCCGCGUCGCAUUAGCUAGUUGGUGAGGUCACGGCUCACCAAGGCAACGAGGCGUAGCCGACCUGAGAGGGUGAUCGGCCACACUGGGACUGAGACACGGCCCAGACUCCUACGGGAGGCAGCAGUAGGGAAUCUUCCGCAAUGGACGAAAGUCUGACGGAGCAACGCCGCGUGAGUGAUGAAGGCUUUCGGGUCGUAAAACUCUGUUGUUAGGGAAGAACAAGUGCUAGUUGAAUAAGCUGGCACCUUGACGGUACCUAACCAGAAAGCCACGGCUAACUACGUGCCAGCAGCCGCGGUAA